rnacentral:rRNA from 1 species
GAGGGGUAACAUGAGGUAGCAAUACUUUGAUGACGACCAGCGCACGGGUGAGUAACGCGUAUGUAACCUACCUUGUACAGGGGGAUAGCCCGGAGAAAUUCGGAUUAAUACCCCAUAAUGAUAUUUAGAGGCAUCUUUGAAUAUUUAAAGUUUCGACGGUACGAGAUGGGCAUGCGUGACAUUAGCUAGUUGGUAAGGUAACGGCUUACCAAGGCUGCGAUGUCUAGGGGUCCUGAGAGGGUGAUCCCCCACACUGGUACUGAGACACGGACCAGACUCCUACGGGAGGCAGCAGUGAGGAAUAUUGGUCAAUGGGCGUAAGCCUGAACCAGCCAUCCCGCGUGAAGGAAGAAGGCGCUAUGCGUCGUAAACUUCUUUUCCGGAGGAAUAAAAUUUCGUACGUGUACGGGACUGAAGGUACUCCGGGAAUAAGCAUCGGCUAACUCCGUGCCAGCAGCCGCGGUAAUACGGAGGAUGCAAGCGUUAUCCGGAUUUAUUGGGUUUAAAGGGUGCGUAGGCGGAUUAAUAAGUCAGUGGUGAAAACCUUCAGCUUAACUGGAGAACUGCCAUUGAUACUGUUAGUCUUGAGUACGGUCAAGGUAGGCGGAAUGUGUAAUGUAGCGGUGAAAUGCUUAGAUAUUACACAGAACACCGAUUGCGAAGGCAGCUUACUGGGCCAUUACUGACGCUGAUGCACGAAAGCGUGGGGAGCGAACAGGAUUAGAUACCCUGGUAGUCCACGCCGUAAACGAUGAUCACUCGCUGUUAGCGAUACACAGUUAGCGGCUAAGCAAAAGCAUUAAGUGAUCCACCUGGGGAGUACGGGCCGCAAGGCUG